rnacentral:rRNA from 1 species
AUGAACGCUGGCGGCGUGCCUAAUCCAUGCAAGUCGCGCGAACGGACGAGAAGCUUGCUUUUCUGAUGUUAGCGGCGGACGGGUGAGUAACACGUGGAUAACCUACCUAUAAGGCUGGGAUAACUUCGGGAAACCGGAGCUAAUACCGGAUAAUAUUUUGAACCGCAUGGUUCAAAAGUGAAAGACGGUCUUGCUGUCACUUAUAGAUGGAUCCGCGCUGCAUUAGCUAGUUGGUAAGGUAACGGCUUACCAAGGCAACGAUGCAUAGCCGACCUGAGAGGGUGAUCGGCCACACUGGAACUGAGACACGGUCCAGACUCCUACGGGAGGCAGCAGUAGGGAAUCUUCCGCAAUGGGCGAAAGCCUGACGGAGCAACGCCGCGUGAGUGAUGAAGGUCUUCGGAUCGUAAAACUCUGUUAUUAGGGAAGAACAUAUGUGUAAGUAACUGUGCACAUCUUGACGGUACCUAAUCAGAAAGCCACGGCUAACUACGUG